rnacentral:rRNA from 1 species
UGGGGAAUAUUGCACAAUGGAGGGAACUCUGAUGCAGCGACGCCGCGUGAACGAAGAAGGCUUUCGAGUCGUAAAGUUCUUUUAUAUGGGAAGAUAAUGACGGUACCAUAAGAAGAAGCCCCGGCUAACUACGUGCCAGCAGCCGCGGUAAUACGUAGGGGGCUAGCGUUGGCCGGAAUCACUGGGCGUAAAGGGUUCGCAGGCGGAAAUGCAAGUCAGGUGUAAAAGGCAGUAGCUUAACUACUGUAAGCAUUUGAAACUGCAUAUCUUGAGAAGAGUAGAGGUAAGUGGAAUUUUUAGUGUAGCGGUGAAAUGCGUAGAUAUUAAAAAGAAUACCGGUGGCGAAGGCGACUUACUGGGCUCAUUCUGACGCUGAGGAACGAAAGCGUGGGUAGCAAACAGG